GUCGAGCGAAGCACUUCGUUUUGAAUCUUCGGAGGAAGAACGGAAUGACUGAGCGGCGGACGGGUGAGUAACGCGUGGGCAACCUGCCUCAUACAGGGGGAUAACAGUUAGAGAUGACUGCUAAUACCGCAUAAGACCGCGGUACCGCAUGGUACAGCGGUAAAAACUCCGGUGGUAUGAGAUGGGCCCGCGUCUGAUUAGCUAGUUGGCGGGGUAACGGCCCACCAAGGCGACGAUCAGUAGCCGACCUGAGAGGGUGACCGGCCACAUUGGGACUGAGACACGGCCCAAACUCCUACGGGAGGCAGCAGUGGGGAAUAUUGCACAAUGGGGGAAACCCUGAUGCAGCGACGCCGCGUGGGUGAAGAAGCGCCUCGGCGCGUAAAGCCCUGUCAGCAGGGAAGAAAAUGACGGUACCUGAAGAAGAAGCCCCGGCUAACUACGUGCCAGCAGCCGCGGUAAUACGUAGGGGGCAAGCGUUAUCCGGAUUUACUGGGUGUAAAGGGGGCGCAGACGGCGAUGCAAGCCAGGAGUGAAAGCCCGGGGCCCAACCCCGGGACUGCUCUUGGAACUGCGUGGCUAGAGUGCAGGAGGGGCAGGCGGAAUUCCUGGUGUAGCGGUGAAAUGCGUAGAUAUCAGGAGGAACACCGGUGGCGAAGGCGGCCUGCUGGACUGCAACUGACGUUGAGGCCCGAAAGCGUGGGGAGCAAACAGGAUUAGAUACCCUGGUAGUC
rnacentral:rRNA from 1 species